rnacentral:rRNA from 1 species
GUGGGGAAUUUUGGACAAUGGGCGCAAGCCUGAUCCAGCAAUGCCGCGUGCAGGAAGAAGGCCUUCGGGUUGUAAACUGCUUUUGUACGGAACGAAACGGUCCUGGCUAAUACCCGGGGCUAAUGACGGUACCGUAAGAAUAAGCACCGGCUAACUACGUGCCAGCAGCCGCGGUAAUACGUAGGGUGCGAGCGUUAAUCGGAAUUACUGGGCGUAAAGCGUGCGCAGGCGGUGCUGUAAGACAGGCGUGAAAUCCCCGGGCUCAACCUGGGAAUUGCGCUUGUGACUGCAGUGCUGGAGUGCGGCAGAGGGGGAUGGAAUUCCGCGUGUAGCAGUGAAAUGCGUAGAUAUGCGGAGGAACACCGAUGGCGAAGGCAAUCCCCUGGGCCUGCACUGACGCUCAUGCACGAAAGCGUGGGGAGCAAACAGGAUUAGAUACCCGUGUAGUCC